rnacentral:rRNA from 1 species
UACAGAGGUCUCAAGCGUUGUUCGGAUUCAUUGGGCGUAAAGGGUGCGUAGGCGGCGCGGUAAGUCGGGUGUGAAAUCUCGGGGCUUAACUCCGAAACUGCAUUCGAUACUGCCGUGCUUGAGGACUGGAGAGGAGACUGGAAUUUACGGUGUAGCGGUGAAAUGCGUAGAUAUCGUAAGGAAGACCAGUGGCGAAGGCGGGGUCUCUGGACAGUUCCUGACGCUGAGGCACGAAGGCCAGGGGAGCAAAACGGG